rnacentral:rRNA from 1 species
CAGUCGCCGCGGGAAUACAGAGGGUGCGAGCGUUAAUCGGAUUUACUGGGCGUAAAGCGUGCGUAGGCGGCUUCUUAAGUCGGAUGUGAAAUCCCUGAGCUUAACUUAGGAAUUGCAUUCGAUACUGGGAAGCUAGAGUAUGGGAGAGGAUGGUAGAAUUCCAGGUGUAGCGGUGAAAUGCGUAGAGAUCUGGAGGAAUACCGAUGGCGAAGGCAGCCAUCUGGACUAAUACUGACGCUGAGGUACGAAAGCAUGGGGAGCAAACAGGAUUAGAUACCCCUGUAGUCCCUGUCUCUUAUAC